GUCCACGCCCUAAACGAUGAUUACUCGACAUACGCGAUACACAGUGUGUGUCUGAGCGAAAGCAUUAAGUAAUCCACCUGGGAAGUACGACCGCAAGGUUGAAACUCAAAGGAAUUGGCGGGGUCCGCACAAGCGGUGGAGCAUGUGGUUUAAUUCGAUGAUACGCGAGGAACCUUACCUGGGCUAGAAUGCGGUUUGACCGCCGGUGAAAGCCGGUUUUGUAGCAAUACACAGAUCGUAAGGUGCUGCAUGGCUGUCGU
rnacentral:rRNA from 1 species